GUUUCUGUUCGACCUGAUGGUGUGUGGCAAGGGGAAUGGUAAUGACUCCAUCCUCUCCUUCAUUCUGCACUCUCCCGCGCCACUCUACGCGGCGGUAAAACUCUCGCAUCAUUACAGAGCUGAGUCGAGUAAGUUCAAAGAACGAAGCAAAGACCUGAUAGCGGCUGGUGACGCCUGUGAGGAACUGGCACUAGAUAUCUUGACUUUGGCUUGUACCAAUGAUGCGAGCCUGCUGUUGAACGCCACAGACGACAGCGGUAAACCGUUUCUUGACGUUCUCGUGGAAUGUGAGCAGAAACAGUGUGUCGCGCAUACCGCUGUGCAGUCGUACUUGGGGAGCAAGUGGCGUGCUGGACGGAAUUGGAGCAUCUCAAAAGUACUGGCAAUUUUUUUCGUCGCCUUUGUUUUACCACCUGUGUGGGUGGCAUUGUCUCUGCCCUGGAAUAACAACUACAGCCGAGUACCAUUGGUGAAAUUCAUAUGUCAGCUCAUAUCCCAUUUAUACUUCAUGUUACUCUUCGUAUUUAUGCUCGUGAUACCAUGGGGUAAAUCAAGCGAUGACCUCAUACCUGCAUGGUAUGAAAUAUUGUUGUUAUUCUGGCUGUGUGGCCUGGUGCUCACACAACUUACUGACCCGAAGAACAGCAGAGGCCUGGGCCGAGUACCACUGUUCGUUAUCAGUCUUUCAGCAAUUGCGAUUCUGAUCCAUCUCUUUGCGAUACCUUUCGAGAGCGUCACGCGCGUCAACCUUCUUUACGCGCGCAACCAACUUUUUGCGAUCGCCAUGUUUUUGACGUUUGUCCAGUUAUUGGAUUUCUUAACAUUUCAUCAUUUGUUUGGCCCGUGGGGAGUCAUCAUCGGAAAUUUAAUGCAAGACUUAGCUCGCUUUGUUGUGAUCCUGCUCAUAUUCAUACUUGGCUUUACUGUACACAUCGCUGCCGUCACGAAACCUAACAUGGCUAAUCUACACCAAGUACAACACAAUUUGGUCGAAAUAUUUCGCUUGUUGUUUUUCUCGCUGUUUGGCUCAGCAGACGGAAACAUUUUAGACGAACUCACUCAUGAUCGUAACCAUAUCCCAGCAUUCUCUAAGGUCUUGGUACAAAUUGUUUUGGGGCUAUAUUCAUUAAUUACAAUCGUGGUCCUAAUCAACCUUCUCAUUGCUAUGAUGAGCGAUACUUAUCAAAGAAUUCAAGCACAGUCUGAUCUGGAAUGGAAAUUUGGCCGCGCAAAAUUGAUAAGGAAACUGGAACGAUCAACCCGCACGCCUGCGCCUCUAAACUUGUUGACAACAACAGUGAUGUAUCUAAAGCUUGCCCGCAAGGUAAAGUGCAGGUGUUGCAGGCCUGAUAUUAUGGAAAUUUUACAUGAAGAAACAAGCGACCAAGUACCAAUGACGAAAUUCGUCAGUACAAAUAGUGUGGGUCCAGACCUCUCCAGUGGCGUCAUCACUUCAGGUAACCAAGGAAACCAGAGAAUCGAGAACGUGGUGAACUGGGAACGAAUCGUGCGCAAGUUUAAAGCUUUGCGUGGAAUGGAGGAUAAGGAGGAAAUGACGGUACAAGAGAUGAUCUCUGUGGAUAAUGAAGCACUCAGUGAGAAAAGUGUGCAUGAUAUCAAGGAGUUAGUUGAGGGAUUGUUGAAAAAGAUGAACACAACCUCAUCAACCUAGACCAUAGACAAUCGAGAGACCGAGAUGGUUUCGCGCAUUCCUGUCUUUAAUAGGGUCUGUUGCAGCGCGCAGUCCACCGGCUGCUUUGACAAAUAUAUCAUCAAUGCUCCGUAGUUUCCGCAAUUCCGCGAUCUGAAGUUGUGCUGAUUAGGCAAGGAGAAUAAACAUAGAAUAUGAAUAGAUGCAGUGUUGUAUACACUGCGCAAAUCAUGGUAGAUUUGCCAAAUAUAGAACAACUAGAUCCAGGGACGCCGGAACCAUCAUAAGGCAAAGGGGGGCGGACCCACAGCAAGGGCACUUCUCAUUUUUCCGGAAAAAUUAUUUUUGGCGACCUCCCCCCGUCGCCAAAAAAAUUUCGGUCAGUGUACCAUUUUAGGGGUCCAAAAUUUUUUCCGGACAUACCGUUAGUGAAAUAUAAAAUGUUAAUGUCUGAAUCUCAUAAUUUUCUGACAAAAACCAUCGUUCUAAAUGUGAUUUAUCACGUAAUUUUUUAAAACUAAAAGGGCACUUCUGCCCCCCCUGCCCCCCCUGGCAAAAGGCAGGGGGGGCAGCCGCCCCCCCUGCCCCCCCAGUUCCGGCGUCCCUGACUAGAUCUUCGGUAUAAUCCUUUUAAAUGUAGCAGAUCGUUACAUGCAGGGUUAUCUGUAUUAAGCGACUGUCCUCACUUAUACAUGUUACGCAUUACUAAUUACUUCCUGAGUAAUUUCUCGGUUUAUUGAAAUAACGAGCAAGUGAGCAACAUUGUGAAAAAAGUAUUAAAUUUGCGUUUAUA